rfam:Ovis aries breed Texel chromosome 17, whole genome shotgun sequence.
UUCCUGGUGGCUCAGACAGUAAAGAAUCUGCCUGCAAUGUAAAAGACCCAGGUUCAAUUCCUGGGUCAGGAGA